rnacentral:snRNA from 1 species
AUGCCUUAAACUUAUAAAUAAGAAAAAUAAUGAUUUGGUAGAUGCCUGAAUCCUCACUGCUACUGUGAGAUGAAUUUGGGGCAGGUUUGCCCCUAAGGUGAUCCCCCUACUUUGCAGAAUGGCAAACUAAUUCAGGCUGUAAA